GAAGACAGACAAGGAGAUAAUAGUCAGGGCUGUCUAAUUGUAAUAAAAUGAAGCCUGUUUCUUUGUGAUGUCUGUCCUCAGAUAUGGAGAGCUGUGAAAGCCUGUCUACAGAUGAAGAGGUCCCAAUGAAUGUCCCAAGAGACUGCUGCCACAUCCUUGUAUGCCAUGGGUUGAAUGUAUACCAACCCAAGCUCCAACCACUGAACAAUCCUCUUUCUCUCCAACUGCUGAGCCUGUUCAGACUGACAACACAGUCCAAGGACCUGAGAAGGUCAAGGAGAAGGACACCAUGAGACGAGGGAGAACAUUCUUCUACG